AGAGUUUGAUCCUGGCUCAGGAUUAACGCUAGCGGCAGGCCUAAUACAUGCAAGUCGAACGGUAACAGGGUAGCAAUACCGCUGACGAGUGGCGCACGGGUGCGUAACGCGUAUGCAAUCUACCUUUAACAGGGGAAUAGCUCAGAGAAAUCUGAAUUAAUACCGCAUAAUAUAGUGAAUGGGCAUCCAUUUACUAUCAAACCUUCGGGGGUUAAAGAUGAGCAUGCGUAUCAUUAGCUAGUUGGUGAGGUAAUGGCUCACCAAGGCUACGAUGAUUAGGGGGUCUGAGAGGAUGAUCCCCCACACUGGUACUGAGACACGGACCAGACUCCUACGGGAGGCAGCAGUAAGGAAUAUUGGUCAAUGGACGAAAGACUGAACCAGCCAUGCCGCGUGCAGGAUUAAGGCCCUAUGGGUCGUAAACUGCUUUUAUACGGGACAAAACCCCCCUACGUGUAGGGGGCUGAUGGUACUGUAAGAAUAAGGAUCGGCUAACUUCGUGCCAGCAGCCGCGGUAAUACGAAGGAUUCGAGCGUUAUCCGGAUUUAUUGGGUUUAAAGGGUGCGUAGGCGGACUGAUAAGUCAGUGGUGAAAGCCUGUUGCUUAACAACAGAACUGCCAUUGAUACUGCCAGUCUUGAGUACAGUUGAGGUAGGCGGAAUGUGUCAUGUAGUGGUGAAAUACUUAGAUAUGACACAGAACACCGAUUGCGAAGGCAGCUUGCUAAACUGUAACUGACGCUGAGGCACGAAAGCAUGGGGAGCAAACAGGAUUAGAUACCCUGGUAGUCCAUGCCCUAAACGAUGAUUACUCGAUGUGUGCGAUACACAGUACGCGUCUAAGCGAAAGCAUUAAGUAAUCCACCUGGGAAGUACGACCGCAAGGUUGAAACUCAAAGGAAUUGACGGGGGCCCGCACAAGCGGAGGAGCAUGUGGUUUAAUUCGAUGAUACGCGAGGAACCUUACCCGGGCUUGAAAGUUAUGGAAUGAUGUGGAAACAUGUCAGUCAGCAAUGACCAGAAACUAGGUGCUGCAUGGCUGUCGUCAGCUCGUGCCGUGAGGUGUUAGGUUAAGUCCUGCAACGAGCGCAACCCCUAUCAUUAGUUGCCAUCAGGUAAAGCUGGGGACUCUAAUGAGACUGCCCGCGCAAGCGGUGAGGAAGGUGGGGAUGACGUCAAGUCAUCACGGCCCUUACGUCCGGGGCUACACACGUGCUACAAUGGCAGGUACAAUGGGCAGCUACAUAGCAAUAUGAUGCUAAUCUCCAAAGCCUGUCUCAGUUCGGAUUGAGGUCUGCAACUCGACCUCAUGAAGCUGGAUUCGCUAGUAAUCGUAUAUCAGCAAUGAUACGGUGAAUACGUUCCCGGGCCUUGUACACACCGCCCGUCAAGCCAUGGAAGUUGGGAGUACCUAAAGUCCAUCACCGCAAGGAGUGGCCUAGGGUAAAACCGAUGACUGGGGCUAAGUCGUAACAAGGUA
rnacentral:rRNA from 1 species